GGGGUUUUAGCUCAGUGGUAGAGCACUUGCCUAAUGUGUAAGGCACUGAGUUCGAUGCUUAGCACUUCA
rnacentral:tRNA from 1 species